rnacentral:rRNA from 1 species
CACCGUUGUAGGAGUUGGGGGGUAGAAAAAAAGUAAAAACAAUCAAACUAAUAGACGUUUAACUACAAGGUACUGGGUCAUCUCCGUCUAGGCUUAAAACACAAAUCUAAAGAGUGGGGGUUAACGUAGGGUACUGGGUCAUCUGAUCAUGUCUACUGUACGGUACUGGGUCACGUGAUCAUCUAUACAGUACCGUUAAAAGUGGGGGUAAGACAUGGUACCAUAAAAACACUAUACAACAAAAACUAAACCAAGUCUUGACCAUCCCUAUAAGAUCCCGUUAAAAGUUAUACGUCACUUGCCGUUUAAAUCUAAGCAAGGUGGUAUCAAAAAGGUAAUACAAAAGAAUCCCUCUUGGUUUAAAACGGCGCCGUUUAAGUAUGCAAGAUGGUAGUGAUGUAUCCUCAAGAAAAAGGAACGACAUCAAAACGGUAGUUUAAAAUGUAAAGAUAGUAUCAAAAUUGCACAGUUAGCGUAAUAAAGAAGUUCGUCUACGUAAAAUAAAAACUUAAAAAUAUAUCGAUCGACUCAUUACAAUACGGGAUUCUUUAAGCCACUGAAAGCAUUGUGCCGUAAAGACAGUGUCGUUAAGGUAAUAAAAAACAGUGUACCGUAUAAGACAGUAAAAAGUAAAAGGAUCAGAAAAACAAGUAUCCGUUUAAGUAAUGACCAGUGUACCGUUUAAGUCAAUACCAGUGUACCCUUUAUAUAAUCUUUUGAUAAAUUGUAUGUACCGUUUAAAUAAAAAUAUCUCGUACUGUUUAAAUCAAGUAGCUAGUACCGUUUAAAAUGUUUAAGUGGUACCGUUUAAAUAAAAUACGUAGAAUUGAAACAUAUCUACUUAGAAUUGGCAAUCAAAAGAUAACAAAAUUCAUAUAUUAUCUAUCUAACCCAAUUUUACUACGAACAAAAACCGUAACUGUAACCGACAGCUCGUCCUUUAGUGACGACGAUACUGAUUGGUUUAGUAUGGGCAAAGGGGCGUGGAAAACAGAGACAAGGAUCGUUUCGGAGGGUGAUUUGAACCAGUUUUUAAAUACUAUUCGUUCUUAUUUUCCGUAGUUCUGUCUGGCCGACGAGACCUCCACACCCUAGCCGACCUACUUAAACACGCCCAGCAAGACAGUUUUCGGUAGAUGCGUACACAAAAAGGUGAGGUAUAGUGGCUUUUCGUUGCCAUACAAAGACCACGGUGGUGGUUGUCGUGGCGGCGGGCAGGGAGGUGGCUCGGCCGGGAGGGGGCGGGGAGGGGCCGGUGGCGCCGCACGGGGCGCCGGGCCGGGAGGUGGCUCGGUCCGGUGCCGCGGCGGGGGAAGAGCGCCGGGAGGGGCGGUGCCGCGGUAGCUUGAUCGAGUGGUAGUCCCUUUUUUCGGCCGGCUUGGGAGGCACCGGGGGAGGCAGGUGAGGUCCUCGGCACGGAGGGGGUAGAUGUAGCUCAUGCGGUUGCCCAGCCGGCCCUAGCGGUGACGUAGCUGCGGUGCUAGGAGAAGAAGUUGGCCUUAUGAUUUCUUCGUUAGUAUUCAUAGGGGUGCGGACGAGAUGGCGGCGGUUGCUGGGGGACGUGGGUGAGGCUACUUGGGGCGCGGACGAGGUCGCUGGCGGCGCGGGCGAGGCUGCUGCACGUGACGGGUGACGAAGAAGGAGGACCUGGUGGUCAACCUCGACCCUUCGAGAGGAGGUAACCUAGCGGAGCGAGGUGGUGGCAGCCGUAGCGGCGACGGCGGUGCAGCUGGACGUUGUGGCCGCGGGGGGGCUGGAGAGGUUCGUUCGGGGCUGGGCGUUGUGGCCAUUACGCACGCCACUUUGCUCGGAUAAAAAACCAUAAAGACUACCUGUUCCUUACGUCUAAACUACUGUAUCUCCUACCACCUAAACUAAAAUAAUCUUUAUCCGCCAUGUGUGAGUUAAAACUAGUUACGGGAACACAACCACGUGACAUGCACGUAUCAGUAGUAAACGAAAGACUACUACCAUACGUACGAGCUACGAACAGACAUCAAUCGUGGUACAUAAAAAGACUACUACCGUCAAGCCACGAACAGACAUCAGAUUAUCCUCGUUUCUUAGCGUCGAAACAGACAACACCCCAUUUAGGAGAAACAAAUAAACGGACGCAUUAGAGUGCUAACCUCGAUCCCCGCGGUGUACACUCGGUAGGUGUUCGGCAACUGGAGCGAGGACAGGGCGGACGGGUGGAGGGGAUGGACUGGCACUGGCGGUAAUUUCUUCUGCUGCUUCUUCUUCUCCUCCUCGUCCUCCUCCUCCUUCACUCAGAUCCGUAGGGUCUGGGGAACCGCCUCAAGUGGCAGGGCGUCCUCGUACUGCAGGAGUCCCGGGCCAUGGCAACCCUGGGUCAGUUCUUCCAAAAGUCCUGCCUGGGUCAGUGUUACUUCAAGUACUCUGACGACAUACAGUUAUAACCGCGGUAACUACUACCUCCUAACUACCGAGUCGUCAUACUCAUGAGUCACAAACUCGUAGUACUCAGCCACGGACUUAACGACGGAGGCCUCGGACUUACAUGAUAAGGUGGUUUCUUCGUAGCUUUCUCUCGCCCCUUUCCGUUGUUAUUUCGACUACGAUACUAGGUCGGCGGAGGAGUUGGAGCCCAAGUUCUGGCAUUGGACAGACGCCAAGUACAGUUCAGCUAGCUCCUAAAGCGCGUCGACCCAACAAAGCUACUCUUGGUUCUGUUCGUCCUCGGGUGGUUUCGAAGAAGAUGGGUCGUCGUUGGGUGAUUUGGGAAAAGAUGGGUCGGCGUUGGGCGAUUUCGAAGAAGGUGGGUCGAUGGCCGGUCUCCCGUGGUUCCGGAGUAGUAAGUGUAUAGAUGGAGACUGGUCCUGCCGUUUGUCGUAUGACACAGGUUCUAGUUGAACUAGUCGGAGAGUCUGGACAACGGCUCCUAGGCCACCUCGCGCUGCUACACCAGGAGGAGGACGACGCUCUUCGUCGGCGCGAACUCCAGCCCCGCCUCCAUC